rnacentral:tRNA from 1 species
AGUCUUAUAGUUUAUGUAAAAACAUUAAAUUGCAAAUUUAAAGAUGAAUUAAUUUUACUAAGACUU